rnacentral:rRNA from 1 species
CCUACGGGUGGCUGCAGUGGGGAAUAUUGGACAAUGGGCGAAAGCCUGAUCCAGCCAUGCCGCGUGUGUGAAGAAGGCCUUCGGGUUGUAAAGCACUUUCAGUGGGGAAGAAAGCCUUGGGGCUAAUACCCUCGAGGAAGGACAUCACCCACAGAAGAAGCACCGGCUAACUCCGUGCCAGCAGCCGCGGUAAUACGGAGGGUGCGAGCGUUAAUCGGAAUUACUGGGCGUAAAGCGCGCGUAGGCGGUCUGAUAAGCCGGUUGUGAAAGCCCCGGGCUCAACCUGGGAACGGCAUCCGGAACUGUCAGGCUAGAGUGCAGGAGAGGAAGGUAGAAUUCCCGAUGUAGCGGUGAAAUGCGUAGAGAUCGGGAGGAAUACCAGUGGCGAAGGCGGCCUUCUGGACUGACACUGACGCUGAGGUGCGAAAGCGUGGGUAGCAAACAGGAUUAGAUACCCGUGUAGUC